GACGAACGCUGGCGGCGUGCUUAACACAUGCAAGUCGAACGGAAAGGCCCAGCUUUUGUGGGGUGCUCGAGUGGCGAACGGGUGAGUAACACGUGAGUAACCUGCCCUUGACUUUGGGAUAACUUCAGGAAACUGGGGCUAAUACCGGAUAGGAGCUCCUGCUGCAUGGUGGGGGUUGGAGAGUUUCGGCGGGUGGGGAUGGACUCGCGGCUUAUCAGCUUGUUGGUGGGGUAGUGGCUUACCAAGGCUUUGACGGGUAGCCGGCCUGAGAGGGUGACCGGCCACAUUGGGACUGAGAUACGGCCCAGACUCCUACGGGAGGCAGCAGUGGGGAAUAUUGCACAAUGGGCGGAAGCCUGAUGCAGCAACGCCGCGUGCGGGAUGACGGCCUUCGGGUUGUAAACCGCUUUCGCCUGUGACGAAGCGUGAGUGACGGUAAUGGGUAAAGAAGCACCGGCUAACUACGUG
rnacentral:rRNA from 1 species